rnacentral:rRNA from 1 species
UACGAAGGGUGCAAGCGUUACUCGGAAUUACUGGGCGUAAAGCGUGCGUAGGCGGUUUGUUAAGUCUGUCGUGAAAGCCCUGGGCUCAACCUGGGAAUUGCGAUGGAUACUGGCAAGCUAGAGUACGGUAGAGGAUGGUGGAAUUCCCGGUGUAGCGGUGAAAUGCGUAGAGAUCGGGAGGAACACCCGUGGCGAAGGCGGUCUGGCUGG